rnacentral:lncRNA from 12 species
CAGCCGCCCCUGGCUUCCAACGCGGCUCUGGCCCCGUACUCAGUUUAACAGAUAAGAACGGUGCUAGAAUAAAUUAAACUCAUCACCCUUAGUGUUUAUUUUCCCCCCCUAAAAUAAAAGAACAGCCGAGGAGCUUGGGAACAACCUGUGAGCUGGCUCCGGAAUGUGUCGACGUGCGAGCCUGGACGGAGCCGGAGCUGAGAAAGUCGACGAAGGGGUGGCUGGCUCUCCACAGCAGCCACUGCGUGGCAGGAGAGAUCAAGAGGAAAGUUUAUUUUCUGCGGCGGGCGGCGCGGGAGCAGCGCAGAGCGCGGCCAGCGGGGGACGGGCGCCAUCUUGUCUCCCUGAGGGCGGCGUGUGGGAGCCCGGGAGCCGGGCACUGGCACCGGCACCGGCACCGGCACCGGCAGCGGCAGCGGCACCGGCAGCGGCGGGGGGGGGGGGGGGGGGGGGGGGGGGGGGGGGGGGGGGGGGGGGGGGGGGGGGGGGGGGGGGGGGGGGGGGGGGGGGGGGGGGG